CAAUAGCGUAUAUUAAAGUUGUUGCAGUUAAAAAGCUCGUAGUUGGAUUUCUGGUGGGAGCGAUCGGUCUGGCGCUUAGCGCGAGUACUUGCAUCGUCUCCGGCCAUCCUUGGGGAGAGUCUGUCUGGCAUUAAGUUGUCGGGCAGAGGAUCCUCAUCGUUUACUGUGAAAAAAUUAGAGUGUUCAAAGCAGGCUUAUGCCGUUGAAUAUAUUAGCAUGGAAUAAUGAGAUAGGACUUUUUUGCUAUUUUGUUGGUUUGCGCAAAGAGGUAAUGAUUAAUAGGGACAGUUGGGGGUAUUCGUAUUCCAUUGUCAGAGGUGAAAUUCUUGGAUUUUUGGAAGACGAACUACUGCGAAAGCAUUUACCAAGGAUGUUUUCAUUAA
rnacentral:rRNA from 1 species